UGGGGAAUAUUGGACAAUGGGCGAAAGCCUGAUCCAGCCAUGCCGCGUGUGUGAAGAAGGUCUUCGGAUUGUAAAGCACUUUAAGUUGGGAGGAAGGGCAGUAAGCUAAUACCUUGCUGUUUUGACGUUACCGACAGAAUAAGCACCGGCUAACUUCGUGCCAGCAGCCGCGGUAAUACGAAGGGUGCAAGNCGUUAAUCGGAAUUACUGGGCGUAAAGCGCGCGUAGGUGGUUCGUUAAGUUGGAUGUGAAAGCCCCCGGGCUCAACCUGGGAACUGCAUCCAAAACUGGCGAGCUAGAGUACGGUAGAGGGUGGUGGAAUUUCCUGUGUAGCGGUGAAAUGCGUAGAUAUAGGAAGGAACACCAGUGGCGAAGGCGACCACCUGGACUGAUACUGACACUGAGGUGCGAAAAGCGUGGGGAGCAAAACAGGAUUAGAUACCCUGGUAGUCCACGCCGUAAAACGAUGUCAACUAGCCGUUGGGUUCCUUGAGAACUUAGUGGCGCAGCUAACGCAUUAAAGUUGACCGCCUGGGGGAGUACGCCGCAAGGUUAAAACUCAAAUGAAUUGACGGGGUCAUAGCUGUUUCCUG
rnacentral:rRNA from 1 species